rnacentral:rRNA from 1 species
CAGCCGCCGCGGUAAUACGUAGGGUGCGAGCGUUAAUCGGAUUUACUGGGCGUAAAGCGUGCGCAGGCGGCCCGUUAAGACAGGUGUGAAAUCCCUGGGCUCAACCUAGGAAUUGCGCUUGUGACUGGCGGGCUCGAGUACGGUAGAGGGGGGUGGAAUUCCUGGUGUAGCAGUGAAAUGCGUAGAGAUCAGGAGGAACACCGAUGGCGAAGGCAGCCCCCUGGGCCUGUACUGACGCUCAUGCACGAGAGCGUGGGGAGCAAACAGGAUUAGAUACCCUGGUAGUCCACGCCCUAAACGAUGGGUACUAGCCGUUUGGUGCGCGAUAGCGCUGAGUGGCGAAGCUAACGCGUGAAGUACCCCGCCUGGGGAGUACGGCCGCAAGGUUGAAACUUAAAGGAAUUGCGGG